rnacentral:lncRNA from 1 species
CUUAAUGAUACAUAAGAAAUUCAGAAAGAUUAGGCACCAAAAUACCCAGCACAAUACUCUUAUAUUUUUAGUAUCACAUAGAAGCAAAAUUCCAGGAACUAAGAAUACUCUAGACCUGUGGUUUAUUCCUUCAGUCAUUUCAAACACGGUAGGGCCUAUGUGGCUAUUUUCCUGCUCACUUUAUGUUUACAUCUCACACUCAAACCAGUAUGCAUCAGGUUUGCUUAAACAUUGAUUGUUCUUUUUGAUUAUUACCAAGUCUUAUGGUGAUUAUUUAAUGUCUUUCUACAAGUCUUAUUUUUGCUGUUCUGGGAAACCUCCAUUUUGAAAAUCUACAUUGUUACAGGAGCACAUGUCUUUAAUGUCUCAGACAAAAAAGCCUUACAGUUAAUUUAAUGCUUGCACUCCGAGGUGAAACUUAACAGGGAGGGCCUGAAAAAAGACUAGGAGUGGGCUAUUCAAUAUUUUUAGUAAAACGUUGCCUUUGUCUUGUGCAGAACAUGUAGAAUAUGCUCUUUAAUUUAGUAAAUAUUUUUUAAAAGGUAUAGAUGCUUUGUUAUUGUAGCUAGAACAAUUCUUAAUCAUAAAAUUUCUGAAAUUCUUAUAAUUUUUUCCAUACUUAUCAGAAGUUUACUAACUUAUUUUUGUUUGCAGUGUGAUUUUUUUUUCCUUUUCCCAGCCUCUUGCAAAAAACAGAAGUGAGUUUCUGCUAAUGAAUUGAACAGACAUCUAAUAUUUUAUAUGCCUUUUGAGCUGUGUAACUUAAUAUUUGGAUACUUCAUAAUUUGUUUUAUUAUGUAAUUGAUAAAAUGGUGAUGUGUAUUAAUGUUAGUUCAACCAUAUAUUUAUACUGUCUGGGAAUGUGUGGUUAUAGUUCUGUGGGACAAAUAAUUUGUCAGUGUUCACCAGCUUGUAAAAACUUAGUGCGAGAGCUUAAACAUCUAAAUAAAUAAUGAAAUCCAUUUAUCAUUGAGAUUGCUUUGGUUAAAGUUAACUUAUUUUUAUAGAAAACAAAACUAAUGAAUUGCACUUCUCUUAAUGCUAGUUGGUGUAAACUGUCAUUUUUAAACAAAAGGGUUAAAUGAAGUCAUUUUAGUAAGGUUUUGGAUAUAAUUUGUUAUGGUUAUAAACAGUAUUUAGUACUAAAUGCUUUACAUUAUAAACUUCUUGAUCUAGACAAUUUUGAACCAAUUUAUUGUGAACCUGGGAGAAAGUACAUAGAGGGAAACCUUGAUUUUUACAGCUCGGUGAGGCACUAAGUGGUUCUGUGCAACUUCUGAACCUUAGUUUUCUCAUUUGCAAAUUAAUUAUUACAUGCCUUUAAAGAUACUGAAAUUAACUUGAACCUGAGUACUUGGCACAUUAAGGCUUAGUAAAGUUUUUUUUCAAUCUGAAAUAAUUUCCUUUGCAUAGGUUUAUCUAAAAGGGACAGAUGUCGUUGUCUCAUUUUUAAUAAACAGUUAUAAAUGUGAAAAAAAAA